rnacentral:rRNA from 1 species
UACGGAGGAUGCGAGCGUUAUCCGGAUUUAUUGGGUUUAAAGGGUGCGUAGGCGGGCUUUUAAGUCAGCGGUAAAAAUUCGGGGCUCAACCCCGUCCGGCCGUUGAAACUGGGGGUCUUGAGUGGGCGAGAAGAAGGCGGAAUGCGUGGUGUAGCGGUGAAAUGCAAAGAUAUCACGCAGAACCCCGAUUGCGAAGGCAGCCUUCCGGCGCCCUACUGACGCUGAGGCACGAAAGUGCGGGGAUCGAACAGG